UCACUAGAGAAAGGCACUGAACCUGGACUGCAUUUCUAAGCUAAUUAGAAUCUGAUAUAUAUCGUUCGGGUGGGUUCAGCAGGAUCUAUACCAUACGAGUAGUUCUGAGAUCAACUUUACAAAAACUUCCUUCACUUGGAAGUUGGGUUGUCCCCAGAUCCCAAUAACAAUGUAACAACUUUUUUCUGACUUGUAUAACCACCAGCCACUAAUUAACUGUGAUUUUUUUUUCCAUUGGUUUGCUGCACAGGCACAUCCACAAAUAAUGCGUCUCCCUCUCUGAUGGGUUUGCAGUUUUGAAGUGAAGAGAAAACACUGAGACAGUCUAGGAGACAUACAUCAAUCAGGCCCUUAGAUCCUCUUCCUGAAGGGCCGCUACAUCAUUCUCCACGGCUCCUGUCGCCUCCUGUCAACGCAGCAGCUUCAGUAUUGAGCUUAAGUUAUUCAGGACCUCCCGUUUUUCUACAAUACUAACAACUCUAAAAAUAAUCAGUCCCCAGCACACUACAUUGACUCUUCAGUCUCUUCACAAUCACCAUCAUGGACAUAGGUAGGGAUCUGCUUUUGUGCACUCUGGCAGCCAUGAUGGAUUUUAGAUUUUGCAACACAAAACAGAAAGGGCAAGUGACAAAGUAAUGAUCCAUCCAACCAGGCUGUCAAAAGUGGUUGGACAAUUGGUAGUAUUGAUCCCAGGCAAGACUGAAGCAGCCUGAUCAUCUGCCCAGAUUCGUUGGUUAUUUGGCUGUGCUAGGCCAACUGAGAAGCUGGUAUAUUGAUCCAUGGACGCACACGGAGACCAAAGCAUUAUUGGACAGACUUGACUCUAAAUGCCACAGCGUGGUGAUCACUCCAGCAAGAAUAGAGGAUUCCUCUGGAAAAAUGCAUGGGUGUGGAAGUUUCCGGAAGGUCUUUUCUCAUCAUUUCUCAACUAGCUCUUCCAAUGAUUCAAAAACAGCAACCAGAAUAGAAUAGAGAGCAGCAUUUACUUAACAGGUCUUAUGCAUUCCUAGAUGUGAACAAAUACAGCAAGGCACGGCAGAUUACAGAACGUGUGCAGUUGGCACAUUGCAAUAACAGGGAUCUCCUGGGAGGCACCGUUUCAUGCUGUGUGUGCAGUCAUAUCUCAAUUAACAAAAAUCCCUUCUCGCCCACAGUGCACUGACAGACUUUGUGAUUUGUUGAAAGGAACAGCUGUCGCGUUUGCAAAGGUAUUUGGAUUUGAAUCGAAAUAUGAGAAAUGACUUGCUUCCCAUUCCAGCAGCAACAAUAGGCUCGUUGUGGCAAUGGUCAACAUUUAGAAGGUAUUUUGGCAGGAGAAAUGCAAAUGCUUAAGUCCAGUCCUUUAAUUUAAUUUUUUUAUUUGGCCACUUUAAAAUGGCAUCAUUGGACAUCUGGAAACAAAUAUGUUGCUCCUCCAAAUAUUAUUUCACAGUUGAGCAAAGAAGCAAAAUAACAUGCUGUAUCUGAACCAUGAUGAAAAACCCAAGAUUUUGAUGGAGCUGAAAUUGUCACAGCCCUGUGAACCGGGGUUAUCACACACUUAAUCCUGUCAGAUAUAUUGAUGAAAUCACAGGGCUACUAGUCACAUGACCGAAUGUGUAGAUAUGUUACUACCCUGAGAAUGAGUGUCUCUUUGUGUGGAGGACUUCCUUAUCUGGUUUCAAAUGGCUGUUUCAUUUAGCCAGAGGAAUCACCUCACGAAACCACAUCAACUCUGGCAUUUGUUUAUGACAAACAGCCAUUGGCAAAAAAAAAGAGCCUGCUAUGUCCCUGGGAGCAGGAGCCUUGGUGAACGAUUAACUCGAGAAGCAGUAAAUCCUCUUAGUAAUCACGGGAUUGUUUAAACAGCCCAAAGUCCAAACAGCUUCAACUCGGUUGUACAAAAGGCAAAAGGGGUUAGGGGGGCUGUCUUUGGCCUUGACAGACCACCCUGGAAUAACCAACCAUUCUUCUCAGGGAGACAGUGGGAAGUAGAGAGUGGGAAAGAGAAUCAUGUCUUCCUUGGCGAUGUUCCUGAAGGAGCUUCCAGGAUGGUUCCUGUGGGGAGGGAUCUUUCUGCCAGUCGCCCUGCUCUUGCUGCUGGUCAUAGCUCAUCUGGAGUGGAAACUGCGGGAAACAGAUGCAGAGCUGUUGGCAGCACCACAUCCUCGGGAAACAGCGUACCGCUUCUGCUACGGCACGCGUCUGCCACCACGGCGCCGGGCUGGGCAGCGCACGCACACCUGACGGACAACCGGAGGCGGGAGGAGACUGGCAGAGAGGGCAAUAGCUCUGGAUUGUGUGAGCCACAGGGAUCUUUGGAUGCAGUGGUGAAUUUCUUUUUUUACGACAGUGGCUUGGAUGACUUCCUUGGAGAGCACGUUCAAAGCACAAGUAUUGGUCGUCUGUUGGUAUGGUCUAAAACUUCAGGUGAAGGUUGCAACAAGACCCUGGGACUGGGAACACAGGGGUCCAUUACAUGUGGAUGGAGGGGGAUCCUACAGGUUGCGUUAAAGGGUCAAAAGCCAGUGGAUGUUACAGCAGCCAAGCAUGGUUCUGGCUAUUCAGCUUCCAGGAUAAGAGGCUAUGUGAGCAAAAUGGUUGCUGGGAGGCUGGAGGUCUAACAGUGUUGUCUUACAUGAGUGUGGGCACAGUCUGCCCCCUGGCCUGGAGGGGAAGAGUAAGCCUCUUAUUGGACUGCCUCCGGAUGAACAAACACUCCCACCAGCAAGCAGUACAGACAAUGGCUCGAGUAAAGCGGUGUUUGUGUGCAAGACUGAAUAAGGACCAGCUUUGUAUGUAUGUGUGGGCUUGUGCGGGCGUACAGGGGUAAGAGGAUAAGCCGAAAGUGAAGUCCCCGAAAUGGAAUGUCUGUGAGGAAAUGUGUGUGUGGUCUGGCCUUUUAAGAAUGUUACGUUUGUACGAGUUGAUCUUCAUGAAAAAGGGGGAUAAAUAACAGCAGAGGACAUAACCCGUUUCUCAGUUAUUCAAACCGGAGUAACGUACGGUAAACAUCUGUGUAUUUAUUGUGACCAAGAAAACAAACAAACAAAAACAGAACACACCUGGCCAGAGACAUUUAGAGAAUAAACAAACUUUUAUUUUGAACAGUGUUACACUGAAUUUGAGGGCAUGGGCUUGUGGAAGAAGGGUAAAAACACGAAAAACACAAAUGUUUUCUUUCAAGCUGCUAAACUCCAACUAUCAUCUGCUAUACACAGGGUCCAAAGAGCAAGUUGUCACCGUUGAAGGUGUGUUUUCUUUUUUUCCUCCAUUUCAGAUAGCAAAGAGCGCAAAAGCAGAGAAGGGAAGCUAGCUCUGGUAUCUACAUGUAAAAGAUUGAGACUGGUGAUUCAUUUUUUGUUGUGUGUGUCGCUAAUUCAUUUAGUCAAAAAAGAUCCCCACGAAAUAUAUUAAAAAUAUUUAAGAGGAAAAACAAACCCAUCUCAUUGACAUCUAAAUUGGUUUUACAGAUAAAGACAGUUUAAAAGAUAAAAAAAAAAAAAAAAAGGAAAAAAAAAUCUACAAAUAUAUAUCUGAUUAAAGAAGCCAGAGAAUUACAGAAAAAGCAAAAAAGUUUCCAAGCUGCCUAAUUUUGUUUCGUGAUUUUUUUUCCCCCAUCAUUUUUUUCAAACAAUUACUUGUUAUUGUUUUGUUUCAGAGGGAGGUAGUUGUGGAAGCACCUCCCUGAUGUGGAAUGUUUUUUAAGCGUUUUUUUCCUCAACUGCAUAGAAAGAUAAUGUUGUUGGCACUGUAGUGCAAAUGUACAAAAUGACACAGUGCUCCGUCCUUUUAACUGGUCCCUUGGAAACACACCAAUGACUGAAAUGUUCAGGAAGUUAUGUUUUUGUGUCCCUCUCCCCCCUCUUAACUCAAUCCAACCCCCCCCCCCCCCCCCCCAAAAAAAGAUACAAAAAUUGCUUGGCCCAACAAAAAAUACCAUACUGUACCAAACCAAGUCCAAAGCUAGCUUGUCAGCUCAAUCACUCAAAAAAAAACAAAAAAACAAGUCCAACAUUGUGAAUCCAGCGAUGAAUUGUAAAAAUGCUGUUUCGUUUGUAUUUUUUUAGUGUUUUUUUGUUUUGUUUUGUUUGUUUCCCCUUCAAUACAUGACCCCCCCACACUGUACACACUAGGAAUGUGGUGAAUACUACAACAAUAAAAAAUAACCACUUACGUAAAA